GUAGGUGGCAAGCGUUGUCCGGAAUUAUUGGGCGUAAAGCGCGCGCAGGCGGUCCUUUAAGUCUGAUGUGAAAGCCCACGGCUCAACCGUGGAGGGUCAUUGGAAACUGGGGGACUUGAGUACAGAAGAGGAAAGCGGAAUUCCAAGUGUAGCGGUGAAAUGCGUAGAGAUUUGGAGGAACACCAGUGGCGAAGGCGGCUUUCUGGUCUGUAACUGACGCUGAGGCGCGAAAGCGUGGGGAGCAAACAGGGAUUAGAUACCCUGGUAGUCCACGCCGUGAACGAUGAGUGCUAAGUGUUAGGGGGUUUCCGCCCCCCUUAGUGCUGCAGCUAACGCAUUAAGCACUCCGCCUGGGAGUACGGCCGCAAGGCUG
rnacentral:rRNA from 1 species